CACAACAACAACAACAACGAUAACGACCAUGGUAAUGAUGAACGCGAGUGGAAAUUAAAAUAAAAAAUAAAUUCAGUUUUUUUUAUCUCAGAUCUGCUAUGGUGUUUAUUUCAAAUAUAAUGGUGAUUAUAUGAUCAACUAAUCGUUAUCAUUAACAUAUAUGCUUCUGUGUCUAAAUGAAUGAAUGAAUAAAUUUUGCCACCAUCACCGCCAAUGACAUCGCCAUAUGUAUAUAUGGCCAUGAAUUUAUAUAUUUUGUCUGGACAAAAAAUGUCAUCGUCGUCUUGUUCUUCAUUUGCUUUUUUUUUCUUUUUGGUUGUCGACAUCCAAAAUGAUCACAUAUGAAGACGAUGUCUGGUAGUAGUAGUGUGGUGAUCCUCAUGAUUUGGUGAUAAUCGACUGAUGAACAAUUAAUUCUUCCAAUAAUUUUCUCUAUUGCCUCAUAUCAUCAUCAUUCAUUAGAAGAUAUAACACGACGGUAGCCAAUUGAUGAUUAUGAUCGUAUUCGCCAAUAAUAAUAAUCCAGAUAAUAAUAAUUUUUGUAUCAACCAUUGACAAUUAUCGUGUUUGGACUUUUUUUUUUUUACCUUUGAACCUCAUCAAAUUCCAUCCCGAAUAUGAAUGAAAAACAUUUUUUUUUCUUUUUGCUUUUCUCGAAAAUGUCGUCAACUCUUAGUUGGUGGUCAGCCAGUUUUUUGAACAUCUUCGUAUGGAGAAGAGAAAAAAAAUUCAAAAAAAAAACUAAACCAUUUGGUAGUCGAUUGGUUGGUGGCCUGCGGCCUGGUCAUAAAUAAAACAAAAAAAAACGUUUUGAAAACAAGAGAAAAAGAAGAAAAAAAACAAAAUAUAAAUUCAG